UCAGAAGAAAGGAAUCAGCUGAUCGACGGAGUGUGUCGGAGUACCCCGACGUCAGAUCGGAAGCCAGAAAACCCGGUUUUUGUGUCGGCUCCUCCACUGGCUCUGGAGCGGCCUCUAGGUGUGCACGGGACACCGUCCGAAGCGCUUGGGGCCCAACAAAAUGAAGACAAGCAGCACAGCCUACUGGAGAGGGUCCGGGACGGGGAGUCAGUCCACCCGGAUUCACAGUCUAAGCAAGAGGGCAAACAGGCCUUCAAGCUCAUCCGAAAGAGCCCAGGUAACAAAUCUACCUCCGCAGCGGCCGCGACCAGAGCCACCGACCAGCUCUUUUAACCUGGGGUCCUGACGCCUUCCGCUGCCGAGGGCGCUCCGGACCAGGCGGGGACCUCUGCCUCCAGAGAGACAACUGGGACAAAAGUGGGUCCUUCAUUGGCCCAAACUCUCCUUACCUCAAGACGGGGAAGACCCGGACCCUCGCUCAACACUCCAGACGACUUCCUAUCAAUCGGUCCUAUCGAGUGCCGCCACUCUGUGCGAAGCAUCGUACCGAGCGCUUGGGAGAGCACAACGGAGAUUAUAGUAGACGCUCUCCCCACCCUCCGGAGGAUUCAGUGGGGGAGACGCGUGUGACUAUAAAUCAUGAAGAGGCACAGAUUAUGCUCAUCUGAAUUCUACUCUGAACCUUCGAGAGUUAAAGGAAAUUGUGGCCAGAAUUCCUCCGUCUAGAACCAAGGAAACUGGAGGCUAAUGGCAGAGGUAUGGUUCGAGGCCUUAAACCGGGCCAGGGAGUACAAAAGGGGGAGG